rnacentral:RNase_P_RNA from 1 species
UGAGGAAAGCCCGGGCAACACAGAGCGCCAUAUUUCCUAACGGGAAGCUGGCGGCGACGGCAGAGUAACGUGACAGAAAACAACCGCCCCCGCCUCAGUGCGGGAGCAAGGGUGAAAAGGUGAGGUAAGAGCUCACCGGACGGGAUAGCGAUAUUUCGUGCCGCACGCCUUAUGGGUUGCAAGGUCAAGUAUACCGGCAUUUAAGGAUUGCUCGUCCAUUGUCGGGGGGUAGACUGCUAAAUGCGCGGCUUGCCGCGCUCAGAUAAAUGACGGGCCGGAACAGUGGCCCUCCGCUUGCGGGGGAAGUGCCGUUCCGACAUAACCCGGCUUAUAGCCCGACUGCUUUU